CCUAUUAGUCACCGGACAUGGAUUCUCAAUUGAAAGAGAUUAUAUGGAGUAAUUAGAAAAUUCAGAUUAGAUACGGAGGUGUAUCUGAACUUAAAUUUGUACGAUGUUAUUAGUGAGAAAUUAAUAACAUACGCUCUCUUUGAAAAAGAAAGAACGUCGUAACAUGUGACUUAUACCACAUAUGCGUAGUCGACCAAUAAGAAAAGUGAGUGA
rnacentral:lncRNA from 1 species